UGAUUCUAUUUAGAAGCUACAGCUUCUAUCAAAUUAGUUAUAGCUCCCUGUGGGCCUAGAUCUAGGCCAGUUUUAAAAUGAUGAUUGCAGAGUCUAUUAUGUUUAAAUACGUACUCCACUCACAGCUUUAGUGGUAGCAGUGCAACUUCUAAACCAGGUCAAUGACUAAUCAAAGGCAGUUUGAACUAAAAAAGAAAAAAAAAGUGGCACAUGCAUGACUUCUAGAUGAGGCCUCGUGCCCCACACUCUUCUAAUCUGGGGUUUGGCAGCUCUGGGGUCACUGUGAUCCCAGCUCACUUCUGGGCAUUAUCCCAGUGACUCUUUAAAGACAUUCUGGUGUUUUACACAGGUUUAAGUACCAAGUGGCCAUAUGAUGGUAAAGCUAUUAAGGGUGUGUUUAUAGCAUCUUGAAGAUAACAGUUCCUCAUGCACCCUGGUAUAAUGUUACACAUGCAAGUGUCUCCACACAUAAUUGUGUCCACAUGUAAGUGCCAUAUAUCAAGUCCUUGUGUGAAAUUGCCUUGAUUUCUAUAACUGUGGUGGGAUUGAUACCACCUGAUUUCAAGGCUUUUCACAUCUCUUCUCUCAGUUAAGCAACUGAGCUCCCUUUGUAGUUAAGAGAUAAACAACCACUCAAAGGGGUUUUGUUGCCUUUUUUUGCCUGGUCUUCUUUUUUGCACGUGCACAAGGACAAGAGGAAUCAGGUUCUGGAUAUGUUGAUUUCUCUCCCCUGCCUAUCAGAGGAGUCCAGAGUUUUGUUUUGGAGCUGCCAUCCCAGCACCCAGUCCUCCUGCUCCCCCUGCCACUCAUGUCUCCCUGCAUCCCUGGCUGAUCGUAGCUUCCUCAGGAAACACAUGUGGGCACGAAACAGUGAGCCAGACCGAGUGACCCCGGCAGAAACACACAGUGCUGCCCCCAGAGGUCCUUUCUGAAGGUGGGGCAAGCUGCAAGAUACAUCGGUGGGAAAGGGAGAGACUCAGGAAUUUGUCAUGGACAGCCAGGAGACCAGAAACACAGUGGUCCUAAGUGUUCUUGAGGAGGACAUCUUAUCCUACAUGGCAGAAGACCCAGAGCAGCAGAUAAGAGUGGAAGAGAGUUUUGAUUCGAAAUUGCAUCGUGUUAGACCAUGAGGAUUAAAUGCAGAACUCAGCCCUUCUCUACAUGGAAGCCAAGUCCCUCCUUGAUGACACUGCUAUAAUGACAGAAGCACCACCAAUUUAGCUGCAGGGUAAGAAGGAGUACUUAACUGCCUAUUUUCAGAGGUGCUUUUAAGCACACUUGCUUUGACAUGGUCAUCAAUGGUGUUAUUCUGGCUAGGUACCUUCCUGCACAUCUUGCACUUCAUAGGCUGGGAGGUGGAAGACCUCCCUCCUCACCAUUUUCUUUUUCAACACCAUAAAGAUAAACAUUUUUCCUUUACAGAAUCAAAUCUCUAUGAAAGCCAUUUCUUUAGUUUACCAAUAGGCCAAGAAGUUAUAUGGCAUGAACUGAGUCUCUACUUGGCACAAGCUAUCUCAGACCUUUGCUAUGACACAGUUGCAGACAUCAACUGCUCAAAGUGAUUGAUACUACAGCCUGAUUUCACAAGAGGAGCUAGUUACAAGUACUUAAGAAAGCAACCCUCAAUUUGGAAUCCUAUUUAAGACUUUUGAAAUGGCAGAUCUAUUCUGAGACUGACUAUUGAAGUGAAAAUGGCAAGUUCAUCCUUCAGCUCCAAAAGAAGCAUUUAGGAAAACCAGCCAGAAAGAAAAGAAUAAUCUGAUUAGUACUCAAAUUUCUUUUUUUCUCAUCAAGUAAGUUGUUCUAGCAAAAGUUACUGUGUAUCAAGCUUACAUUAAAGCUUUUGGCACCACCGCUUCUCCUUUCUACAGCAACAUCCACAACCACUGAUUCCAAGACAGACCAAUUCCAUCACAAAGAAAAUAUGUUUCCACAUGGAGACUAAACAAGAAUUGACUGCACACUUUUUACAGGUUCUAUCUCAUACUAAGAGCAUAUGCAGACCACUGUAGUACAAAAGGCAAAAUAACCCCCAAACCAGAGCUGAACACAACCUCUCAGAUUUUCUAUCUCAAUUACCAGUAGGGCUGAGUAACCUGUAAGCAAGUCACAUACAGCAGCAAGCUAGACAACCACUAAAGUAUUUUAGUUUCCACUAUAAAAUCUUCUAGAUAUCCUGUUCUAGUCAGGAAGAUAGACCUCUCCCUACAAGACUAUUUUGACUUCAGUUCC